rnacentral:lncRNA from 1 species
CGGGAAAUAAUCUGCAAAAUUGGGUCUUCCAGCGUCUUCCAUCACACGCCAUACAAUAUCCUUGAACUCUUGUGAAAAAGUAGAGGCGUGAUGAACCAAAUUAAUGGAGAAAAUGGUGUUUGAUAACAAAUUAAGGCUUGCUGUGAAGGUUGCUGCACCAAUAUCGACUGCACAACCCCUACCGCAACAUUCUUCCGCAUGGUCCAGCAGUUCCUGUACUAUUUUUCUCCUAAGGCCUUGGCUGGCUUCAAGCCGCUGCACCGAAAACAUUUCCCUGGUGCAUAUCUUCCUAAUCUUUCGCCAAUAAGCAGAUGCCGGACUCCAUACUACCGAAGAUUCAUGAUGGUUAUGGGCUUUGACGGCAUCUAGAACUACUCGGCCAGAGAAGGCUUGAUUAUUUCUGUGUAGGACCUCUUUGGCAGUUUCAGAAGAGGAAAUGACUAUGGUGGAAACACUCCCAAGCUUGAGAGACAUUACAGGGCCAUAAGUUUUGGAGAGAUUUGUAAGAGAUUGAUGAGGUUUGUCCCCAAGUUUGAGGAUGUUGCCGAUGAUUGGAAAGGGGCGGGGGCCUGGAGGGAGGCUGGCUGUACUGGGUUUCCGGCCAGUUGGACUGAGCUUGAGGAGAUGAAUGCAGGUCCACACAAAGGAAAGCAAAAGCAAAACUGUAAUGUAAUCCAUCGGCUAUCCCUUUCAAUACUACUCUUCUAUUCUUGAUGCUCCGAUUCUCCCCAUCUUCUGUGGUAUUUGUAUAGAAACAUGAGGACCAUGAACUGCUUAUCAACAAAUUAAUCACGGUUAUUUUGGUAUUUGUAUCAAAUGAAUUUAGUUUUUUUUGCCAAAUGCAUAAAUUAGGUUUUGAGGAGGCACUAAGAAAUGGAUGGCUUUUGGACAUUAAAGUGUCCAAAAGUAGGUAAGAAAUUAAUAAAUUAUUGAAAUCCAAGGGAAAAGUAGGUAAGAAAUUAUUGAAAUCCAAGAGACUUGUAAAAUUUGAAUUCUAAUAUCCACACGUGAUUUCCGUGUAUCCUACUCGACCAUGAGACUUGCAUGACUUGGACUCAACCAUCUAAAUGGAAAUUGUUUGAGAUUUAAUUAAUAGUAAAAUCCUAUUUCUUUUUUUUUUAUUGACAAUACUAAAAAUUUUAUUCAACAUAAAAAAAAUUUGUAUAAGACAAAAUAAAGCUUUGACAAGAAGAACAUUUUAUUAACUUUCAUAUUAAGUUUUUAAAAAAUCUUAAAUAAAUUAAUUAAGCAGCCAUAAAACCUUUUAUUGAACUUUAAAAAAGGUUUUUCUCUUCUCAUAAAUCAAACCAAGACAUAAACAUUUUAUGGAAAAACUUGGAAAAGUAGGUUGAUAUAUUUGAUUUGUGAACAUAACAAAAUUGAAUACAUAAAGAUGAAAAGUUAAGGUUUAUUUGGUUUUUCGAGAAUAGUAUUCAAAAACAUUUUCAAUCAUUUGAUAUAUAGUAAUGUUAUCGACUUUUUUUCUACAUUUUUAAAUAUUUCGUAAAAAUAUUUUUGAUAUAUAGUAAUUUAUUUUCAAUCAUUCUUCAUAUUUAUAUAUUUAUUUUUACACAUGAUUCCAAAAAGGCAAAAAAUAAGGGAAAAUAUUUCUUUCAGAAAUUAGAAUAUAAGUGAAAAUACCCUCUUUUUAAAAAAAAAUUACUAAAUUAAUGUAGUUUUUGAAUUGUAGAGGGGACCAACCAAUUCCUUUUCUGAUAGGGUUUACCUUUUCAAGCCCUUUUGAAUUGUAUAUUCAUUUUUCCAAACAUCUUUGUCUCGGCUCAUUUAUUUCAUAAACAUUUUUGUUUCAGUCGUCUGAAAAUGUCUACUCUGUUAUUGUUCCAAGUUCCUACAAUCAAGACACUACAUUAAACCAUGAUUUGGAUGACCCCGAUGACAAUAUUCAUAUUUAGUUCUUUCUUCUAUAUUGUAGAGCAAGACUACUAAAACUUCUAUCCACCCUUUUAGCUGUUUCUGAUUAAAGUGAUACAACAGAGAAAAAAACAAAUAUUUUGAAAAACUUGGGUGGGUAUUAGGUAAUGAUAGGGUAGAUAAACAACAUAGAAGUUACAUUCAUUACAACAUAAAAAUACAAUCAAACUUUGAUGGGAAUAGCCCGUAGAGGCUGGGCCUUCUGUAAUGUAAAUCCCAACUUCUCAUUCAUGUCCAUAUCUUCUGGUUUCAUACCAUCGUCAAGCUUCCAAGCAUAGGAAUGAAGAAGAGAGGCCAAUAUCAGGUGCACCAUCCUAUGAGCUAAUGGCAGUCCAAGACAUAUUCUUCUUCCAGCACCAAAUGGAAUCAACUCAAAAUCUCGGCCUUUGACAUCAAUAUCGCACCCCAGAAACCUCUCAGGCACGAAUGCAUUCGGGUUCGACCAAAUGCUUGGAUCACGACCGAUAGCCCAUGCAUUAAUUAGUACUUGGGAAUUCUUUGGAACUGUGAAGCCGCAUAUUUCUACAUCAGUUUCAGCUUUAUGGGGAACUAGCAGUGGGGCUGGUGGGUGCAGCCUAAAGGUCUCUUUAACUAUGCCUUGUAAGUAAGGGAGCUUUGAGAUGUCUGAUUCUUGAACUAUCCCAUCCUUGCCAAGGACUUCUUGGAGCUCCCUUUGAGCUUUUACCAUUGUUUCCGGGUUGUGUAGUAGCUCUGCCAUUGCCCACUCUAUUGUGUCUGAAGUGGUGUCAGUUCCCGCAACAAAGAGAUCCUGAUUAUACAAAGCAGAGUUAGAAUUUAGGUUUCAUUGAUCAUAGUUGGCAAAUAUGCAGUUACCAAUGUUUUCUACAUGAAUGGAAAAGAAAAACUGUACAAGAAAUAACUCCAAGGAAGACUAACUUCUAAUUGAUUGUUUACUUAAGUUUUUAAGUUAAUUUCAGUUUUAUAACUUAACCAAUUUCACAGUUAAAAGUUAAAAGGAAACGCAAUUGCAGGUACAUAAUAUAGAUACUUCAGUGGAGAAGUCACCAAGGAUCAGAUAUAAUGAUUUAUAAAUUAUUCCAAAAGUCACUGAAGUCAUUCUUCAUCAAAAUUAGGCUGUAGUUCAGCUAAAAUAUUGAGAAAUUCAAUCUUCUCGUGUAUAUAUAUAGGUGUUACUAUUGAAUGAAAUCCAUAUAUUCAGGAGGCAUUUAAAUAAGGAACUUAAAUUACUCCAUAAUAUAUAUGAACUAGAAGUGAUAUCAAAAAAAUAGAAUUCAGAAAAUAGUUUAACAUCUUUUAUAAAGUAGGGUUAUACUCUAAAAUGUAAUGCACAGAAUGAAAAUGAUAGUUAAUGUGAUAUCCCACAUCGGAAAAAAGAAAAAGUUUCUAACAUUGUAUAUAUGGUUUCUCUUAAUCUUAUAGAUGUAUUUUAAAGCCGUGAAGAAAUAAAUUUAUUACAAAUAGUAUGAGCUAGUCGAUCUCCAAUCCCAAUGAGGGGAGUUUGUUUGACCUUACAAAAGAUAUCAUUUGUUUCACCUACAAGGGAUCUUAACUUUGUAUAAUGCCUACAUGGGAGGGUGCUAUAUGUGUGUGGACUUGCUUGUAGAUGACAAUAUCUACUUGGGAGGAAGGAAGUUGGUCCUUAUAGAAAGAUGAUUAAUACUAAUAUAUAGUGAAGCAAGGAUUGCGAUAAGGCACUCACCAUAAGCAAAUGUAUAAUAUCAUUGCAGCUCCACUCUUGGUUAUUUUCUUUUGUGAGAUUGAGGAAGGCAUCUAGUACAUCGUUGCUUGCUGAUGAAGCUUUUGAUUGUACCCUUUGAGUGAUUAGACCAUCAAAAAUAUCAAUUAAUUUACCAAAAUGAACCUUCAUGUUCCGCUGUAUACAUUGUGGGUCAAUCAAUCUGAAGGCCGGGAAAUAAUCUGCAAAGUUGGGUUUUCCAGCUUCUUCCAUCACACCCCAUACAAUAUCCUUGAACUCUUGUGAAAAAGUAGAAUCAUGAUGAGCCAAAUUAGUGGAGAAAAUAGUGUUCGAUAACAAAUUAAGGCUUGCUGUGAAGGUUGCUGCACCAAUAUCGACUGCACAACCCCUACCGCAACAUUCUUCCACAUGGUCCAGCAGUUCCUGUACAAUUUUUUUCCGAAGGCCUUGGCUGGCAUUGAGCCGCUGCACCGAAAACAUUUCCCUGGUGCAUAUCUUCCUAAUCUUUCGCCAAUAAGCAGAUGUCGGACUCCAUAUCACUGAAGAUUCAUGAUGGUUAUGGGCUUUGACAGCACCCAGGACUUCUCGGCCG